rnacentral:rRNA from 1 species
CAAAAACAUCGCCUCUUGAGAGAUAUAAGAGGUCCAGCCUGCCCAGUGACCUAGUUCAACGGCCGCGGUAUCCUAACCGUGCGAAGGUAGCGUAAUCACUUGUUCUUUAAAUAAGGACUAGUAUGAAUGGCACCACGAGGGUUUAACUGUCUCCUUUUUCUAAUCAGUGAAACUAAUCUCCCCGUGAAGAAGCUGGGAUUUUUUUAUAAGACGAGAAGACCCUAUGGAGCUUUAAACUAUUUUACACCUGCUGCCCACAAACCAACUUCCAGAAAUUAACCCUAAAGCAUAGCACUUUGAUUAAUAGUUUUUGAUUGGGGUGAUCGCGGAGUAAAAAAUAACCUCCACGACGAAAGGAUUUUUCCUGAGCCAUAAGCCACAGCUUUAAGCACUAAUAUUAUUAACGGCUAUUGACCCAAUAAUUUUGAUCAACGAACCAAGUUACCCUAGGGAUAACAGCGCAAUCCACUUCAAGAGCUCCUAUCGACAAGUGGGUUUACGACCUCGAUGUUGGAUCAGGGUAUCCUAGUGGUGCAGCCGCUACUAACGGUUCGUUUGUUCAACGAUUAAAACC